rnacentral:rRNA from 1 species
GAUGAACGCUGGCGGCGUGCCUAAUACAUGCAAGUCGAGCGAACAGAUGAGGAGCUUGCUCCUCUGACGUUAGCGGCGGACGGGUGAGUAACACGUGGAUAACCUACCUAUAAGACUGGGAUAACUACGGGAAACCGGAGCUAAUACCGGAUAAUAUAUUGAACCGCAUGGUUCAAUAGUGAAAGACGGUUUUGCUGUCACUUAUAAAUGGACCCGCGCCGCAUUAGCUAGUUGGUAAGGUAACGGCUUACCAAGGCAACGAUGCGUAGCCGACCUGAGAGGGUGAUCGGCCACACUGGAACUGAGACACGGUCCAGACUCCUACGGGAGGCAGCAGUAGGGAAUCUUCCGCAAUGGGCGAAAGCCUGACGGAGCAACGCCGCGUGAGUGAUGAAGGUCUUCGGAUCGUAAAACUCUGUUAUUAGGGAAGAACAAAUGUGUAAGUAACUAUGCACGUCUUGACGGUACCUAAUCAGAAAGCCACGGCUAACUACGUG